rnacentral:rRNA from 1 species
GAUGAACGCUGGCGGCGUGCCUAAUACAUGCAAGUCGAGCGAACGGACGAGAAGCUUGCUUUUCUGAUGUUAGCGGCGGACGGGUGAGUAACACGUGGAUAACCUACCUAUAAGACUGGGAUAACUUCGGGAAACCGGAGUUAAUACCGGAUAAUAUUUUGAACCGCAUGGUUCAAAAGUGAAAGACGGUCUUGCUGUCACUUAUAGAUGGAUCCGCGCUGCAUUAGCUAGUUGGUAAGGUAACGGCUUACCAAGGCAACGAUGCAUAGCCGACCUGAGAGGGUGAUCGGCUACACUGGAACUGAGACACGGUCCAGACUCCUACGGGAGGCAGCAGUAGGGAAUCUUCCGCAAUGGGCGAAAGCCUGACGGAGCAACGCCGCGUGAGUGAUGAAGGUCUUCGGAUCGUAAAACUCUGUUAUUAGGGAAGAACAUAUGUGUAAGUAACUGUGCACAUCUUGACGGUACCUAAUCAGAAAGCCACGGCUAACUACGUG